rnacentral:rRNA from 1 species
UACGAAGGGGGCUAGCGUUGCUCGGAAUCACUGGGCGUAAAGGGCGCGUAGGCGGCCAUUCAAGUCAGGGGGUGAAAGCCUGUGGCUCAACCACAGAAUUGCCUUCGAUACUGCAUGGCUUGAGACCGGAAGAGGUAAGUGGAACUGCGAGUGUAGAGGUGAAAUUCGUAGAUAUUCGCAAGAACACCAGUGGCGAAGGCGGCUUACUGGUCCGGUUCUGACGCUGAGGCGCGAAAGCGUGGGGAGCAAACAGG